UACGGAGGGGGCUAGCGUUGUUCGGAAUUACUGGGCGUAAAGCGCACGUAGGCGGAUAGUUAAGUUGGGGGUGAAAUCCCGGGGCUCAACCCCGGAACUGCCCUCGAUACUGGCUGUCUGGAGGUCGAGAGAGGUGAGUGGAAUUCCGAGUGUAGAGGUGAAAUUCGUAGAUAUUCGGAGGAACACCAGUGGCGAAGGCGGCUCACUGGCUCGAUUCUGACGCUGAGGUGCGAAAGCGUGGGGAGCAAACAGG
rnacentral:rRNA from 1 species